UCCUUUCGGACGGGGUGAGUAACGCGUGAGAAUCUGUCUUCAGGUCGGGGACAACAGUUAGAAAUGACUGCUAAUACCGGAUGUGCCGAAAGGUGAAAGAUUUAUUGCCUGAAAUUGAGCUCGCGUCAGAUUAGCUAGUAGGUGGUGUAAGAGACUACCUAGGCGUCGAUCUGUAGCUGGUCUGAGAGGACGAUCAGCCACACUGGAACUGAGACACGGUCCAGACUCCUACGGGAGGCAGCAGUGGGGAAUUUUCCGCAAUGGGCGAAAGCCUGACGGAGCAAUACCGCGUGAGGGACGAAGGCUUUUGGGUCGUAAACCUCUUUUCUCAAGGAAGACAGAGGACGGUACUUGAGGAAUAAGCAUCGGCUAACUCUGUGCCAGCAGCCNGCGGUAAUACAGAGGAUGCAAGCGUUAUCCGGAAUGAUUGGGCGUAAAGCGUCCGCAGGUGGUUUUGAAAGUCUGCUGUUAAAGCGUGUGGCUCAACCACAUACAGGCAGUGGAAACUAUAAGACUAGAGUAUGUUAGGGGUAGAGGGAAUUCCCAGUGUAGCGGUGAAAUGCGUAGAGAUUGGGAAAGAACACCGGUGGCGAAAGCGCUCUGCUAGGACAAUACUGACACUGAGGGACGAAAGCUAGGGGAGCCAAUGGAAUUNAGAU
rnacentral:rRNA from 1 species